ACCAGCAGGGUCGAAACACUUGGAAAAGCUGGAUGAGAUAUUGAAAUCUAGAAGCAUCACAUUCAAUCACCUCCGAUCUCUGACUCUGACGGUGGACCAAAGUGGAGGAGAUAUCGUAUUGAGGUUCCCAUUCAUAUAUAAACUGCGACUGCUCGGACUCAUCACACGGUUACCGGCAGAGCUCUCGUACUAUCCAAACCUUGUGAAGAUGAAACUGUUUGGUACUCAUUUGGAGGAAGACCAGAUUGAGUUAUUAGAAAAGCUGCCAAAGUUGAGAGUGCUAUACCUUGAUUUCCGUGUUUUCGCCAGCCUGCCCUCAAACACACUGGUUUGCUCUGGUGGAGGCUUUCCCCGUCUUGAAUUGCUUUCAGUCAGGUUCUUCAAAGAAUUACAAGAAUGGACCAUGGAAGAAGGUGCCAUGCCUUGUCUUUCCAGAUUGAUCAUUGAUAACUGUCAAGGAUUGAGGGCACUUCCAGAUGAGCUUCAACGUAUUGCUACCCUCAAGGAAUUAGUACUCAACUGCAUGCCUAUUGAAUUCUGUAGCAGGCUUGACGAAGGAGGGGAGGAAUUCUACAAAAUCAAACAUGUGCCUUCUGUUAUAAUCACCAAGAGAGAGUACACUCGGGAACUCUAUGAUGAGGUACUAGGGCCAAUCACAAUAACGCGUACAUUUUAGGUCUGAGCAAGAAAUGAGCCCAAAAGGAAAUUAUAUAUAGCUAAUAGCUGUGCUGCUCCUCAGCAAUUUACUGUGGAUAAUGUUCAUAUAUAUGUAAAUGGAAGAGACUUCAACAAUCACUAGCUACUGCUAUCAAUUUAGAAAACAGAAGAAGAAAGAGAGCUGAUUUAUAGCUGUGUUUCUUCAGGCAAACUGACUUCUCCAACUAUGGCUGAGGCUGUAGUUUCGAUGGUGAUCGAAGGGCUCAAACCCCUUGGAAGCUUCAUGAUUCAGCAAGCUAACUUCCUGACCAAACUUAAUGAUCAAGUUGAGCUUGCACAAAGCGAGCUACUCCUGAUGUGGAGCUUCCCGAAAGAUGCAGACGAACGACAAGAAGAUGAUGAAGUGGUGCGCUUUUGGGUUAAUGUGGUUAGAGAAGCAAAUUAUGAUUUGGAGGACGUCAUUGAAUCUUUUGUCUUGAAUAUGGUUCUCAAGAGGGGAGGAAGCAUGAAGAUUGUUUUCAAGAGAUAUGCUUGCAUCUGGCAUGAAGGAGUUCAUCGUUACAAGAUCGGAUCAGAGAUUGAGAGCAUUACAACCAAGCUUUCCAAACUGAGGUUGACAAUGCAAAGUUAUGACAUCAAGCAAAGCAAAGGUUGACAGUUCUUACUUCGCGAGGCAAAGAGAACGCAGGCAAACCUACCCACAUGUCAGUGAAGAUCAUGAUGUUGUUGGGUUAGGGGACGCCAUAGAGAUGUUGACUACACGUUUGGUCAAAAAGGGAGGCUGCCAAAUUGUUUCCCUUUGGCGGGCUUCGGGAAGACCACUCUUGCAAAGAAGGUUUAUAAUGACGAGAAACUCAAGCACCAUUUCGAUUGCUUUGCUUGGGUCUGUUUAUCUCAACGUUUUGAGGGUAUAGCUGUUCUGAAAGAAAUUUUCUUUAAACUUACCGGUGCGGCCGAUUGGCAAAGAAAGCAAAUUGCAGAGCUGAGAAGUGAUGAAAUAGCACAGUUGCUCUAUGAUUACCAACGAGAGAGGAAAUGUUUGGUGGUGCUUGAUGACAUAUGGACAAUUGAUGGGUGGAACUCUUUGAAAGGUGGAUUUCCGGUGAAUGAGGAAACUAAUAGCCGAAUCAUUCUCA